CAUGUCUGCACCGAUCCAGUUUCGCAUAACUCUUAAAAUUUAAAGCUUUAAAGUACGGUUCGCAAUUGUAUUGUCAAGACAUGGCCCUAGAGCUUGUUCUUCAAGUUUUGGCUGUACAGUUGUCAUUGUUUCAGUCAAGUGCAAAAGAGGUUAUUCCUGUUUAUUUAGUGUUAAUAGCUAUUUACAGUUAAAACUUUAAAGACUCAUAGAAGUAGGUCUGCUGUAUUUUAAAGAUCUCAUCAUUCUUGUGGGAGAGACACAACACCAACACCAGGAAAGGCAACAGAUUGCUUCUGUCAUAUCGCUUUGCUGUUUUGGAGUGUACUUAAAGGAUUAUGAUUGAUAAGGCUGUCUUGCCAGAGAAUGUUGACACAGGUGUGCAUCGUUAUCUUAAUUAAGAUCCUGAGAAAAUGUUGUCUAUAAAUGGUGACAUAAGAAGGGCGGCAUAUUUUUGUACAGUUUUGCUUUUGGAGAAUUUAAUUGCACUUGAAACCUGUCUUUGAGCUUCCAGAUUUUGUGAGCACUUUAGCAACAGAAGUUUUAGAGAGAAAUGAUAGUUUAAUGUUAAGUGUUCUGGCAUGUACUAAUACUACUUGUGGCUUUUUGGCAAUGCCUGUGUCGGCUUUCUUUGUGCUCUACCUUUGUGGAAUAAUGGUUUCUAAUUUUGAAAGAAAAGCAUAAAAUAGAGCAGUAUUUUAUUAAGCAAACACUUGUUAGUGUUCAGAAUAAGUCUGUAGAGGAGGGCAUGCUUAAUGUGCAGAAACAGGAAUAUAAUAAGAGGUGUUAAGUGUGAUGCUUCCAUAAUACAUUUGGAUGCUGUCAGCUAAGUUCACUUCUGAACUAAGGGGUUCCUCCAAAUGUUGGCUGAAAUUCAUCCCAAGGCUGGUCUGCAAGUGAGUGUCUGCACACAGUUUGCUUGUAUGUGGAGUCGAUCCAAAAUAGCAUCAAUGUUGGUUUUACCAAAGUAUUUAUUAUUGAUAAUAGAGGCUAAGUACAAAAUGUAGAGAAUGUCAGCUACUUGAGGCCUUUGAUUAUUAAAAAUUUUAUUAAUGCAUUAAACAAGAGUACAGUAAAUAGAUAAAUUUUAGGUUCAUGAAAUAAAACUGAAUAAUUUAUUUUUACUUACUAUUUAUCAUGGAAUUACUUUGAAUAAUUUAUUUUUAAUGGUAUAAUUGGACAGUAAAAUUUAUAAACUCAGUGCUUUUCAUAAAAAUCAAAGUGAAGUUUGUAAUAUUUUAUACAAAUAGAAUUAUUAUUUAAGAGAAAUAACCUGUUUAUGCCUAAUUACAGUUUUUAAUCAUUUCAGUUACCUAUUUCUUUUAAGAAUAAAUUUAGUGGGAAUAUCAGUUCCAGUCAUGGGUACCAAACUUUUUUAGUGACAGAGUACACACAGGUAUGUAAAACUUGUCAUUUCUCAUCAAAUAGAGGCUGCUGAAUAUAGGCAGGUAAGAAAAGCUAUGAGAAAGAAUUGUUUUGCAGAAUAUUUGUCUAGUUGUCAGAGCAAGGAACUGAAUUUAUUGACACAGAACAUUUUAUUAAGUAAAAAAAAUGGUUCUUAUAACAAAAAAAAAAGCUAAUUUUACAGAAGGCAGUAGUUAAUAUAGCCGCCAAUAAAAUAAAUGUUUCUCUGAAUACUUUCCGAGGCAUUACAGUGAUUUUUAACUAAUAUGAAGUGAUAUAUAAUAAUUUUAAAGUAACAUCCUUGAGUUUUCCUAUUAUUAAUUGCUUAUGGAAAUUGGGUUUCACGUAUGACUGAGAGCUAAAGCAUUACAGUGAGUUAGAAAACACAACACAAAUGUAAAGAAAAUGUUAGGUGGUGAGUAAUCUGAUUCCUUUUUGUUUGCCUUUAAGCUUAGUUUUUUGUUUUGUUUUACUUUGUUUUAAACCAUGUAUAAAAUUGUUGAAUUUAAAAGAUAAGAGGAUUAAGUAAUUUCUUUUUUCCUCCUAAGGAUAAAUGUAGGAAAAAUCUAAACACAUAGGCAGAUUGGUUGAGUUUUAUAUCUGUUAUCGGCCACAUUUAUUAAGAUUCAUAUUUCAUGUAUAUUAGAGGUAUUCACAUGUAUUAAAAUUCUUAUAUUCCUUCUAUAUAAAAUAGAUGUAGGGGGUUCCCACUCUUGAAAAUAUGAAGAAAAGAUGUCCUUUCAGCAAUAAUGGGUUAUGGUUGAUUAACUGAGAAGGUUGUAUUAAACGUUCUCUAGUAGAAAUGGCUAAAGAGCAUGCUUUUUGAGAAGUGUAUCAUCUAGGAAGAAAAUCAAAUGGAGUAUUGGUAAUUAAAUUGUAAUUCCAUGAAGGAAGGAAGUGGUGCAAAAGAUGAAGCUAACUAUUCCUGUUUUUCUUUUUAAGAGUCUGCAAUUCAUAAUGGAGCUACUGUACUGGCUAUUGGAAGGAGGAGAUUCUGAAGAUAAGGAGGUAAAACCUGUUUAGAAAUUAAAAAUGAGUUACGAUUUAAAGAAAAUUCAGAUGACUCAUUGUGAGUGCUAGUUCUCUUGUAGGAUGCCACUGGAAAUGUUGAAAUGAAAAAUAUUCAGCCGUUGGUCUUUGAAAUUUCCUGUGAUGUGUUUCAAUCUAGAUGCAAAGAACAUGGAAAAAUCAAAGUGCUCGAGUGGUUUAAAUAUGUUUUGGGUAUUCCUGUUUAUAGACUAUAAUACUUUUCCAAUUAAAAUCCUCAGUUGUCACGCAGAAGAAGGUUAAGCUGUAUUUGAUUGCCAGUUUUACUGAAAAUGCUUAGUAUUUUACAGUAUCACCAAAUAUAUUUUGUUUAGCCAAGGUAUAGGAAAAAUAAAAUAAAUUGUAUAGGUUGACUUUUUUCUAAAAUGUCUUUAUUGGAUUGAAUGAAUGUUUAUACCUGAAAAAAAAAGGUUCAAAAAAAUUCCUUUUUCUAUCAGAGUCAUUCUUUUGACAAUCAGAUAUUAGACUAGGUUUAAAAUAACUUUCUAAUAUGACUCAUAUUUAUGGGAGGAAAAAGACUUGAAAGAUAUUCCUAUGUGUACUUUAAUUUUCUGUAAUAGUCCCUCUGGAAUAGAAUAUCUCUUCCUCAAACAAAUCUAUUGGCUCAUUUCAUAUACAAGAAAAAGUUGCCCUAAAUGGCAGAGUUUCAUCUCUGUAAAGAAGGCUGACAUCCACUUCCUUCACAGAAUCCCUGCAUUUGGGUAAUUGAGUAAUGAUAGAUUACCUUGCCAUUGGGAAAUACCUUGUUGUGGCCUUUGUAGCAGCUAUAGGAAGAUGGAAGAAUUCUUUUGUAUAGACAGGUCUCUAGCCUCUUUGGUGUGGACACUGUGAAGGGGUACAUCUGGUGAGAAGGAGUGCUUAGGGAAGGAACUGGGAAGGUCCACAAAGGCUGAUGAUGACAAAGAAUCCAAGGGCUAUGAUGAAUUCUUAAGCUUAGAUCUCAGAGUCAUAAAGUAAAUUUAUUAGGCUAGAGAGAUUUCCUUUUUUAUUUUUGAUCAAACUUUAUUUUUUCAGAUUGUUAAGUUCACAUGCAGUUGUACAAAAUAAUACAGAGAUCUUUGAACACUACCCAGUUUCUCCUAAUAGUAACUUCUUGCAAUAUACUGUAUAGCACAGCAUCACAACCUGGAUACUGACAUUGAUGCAGUCAAGACAGAGAACAUUUAUAUCAUGAGGAGGAUCCCUCAUUACCGCCCUUUGAUAUCCACCCCUACUUCCAGACCAUCUCACUCCUCCCUUAACCCUGGCAACCACUAGCAUGUUCUCCAUUUCUAUAAAUUUGCCUUUAUAGGAAUGUUAUAUAAUUGCAAUUAAAGUGUGUAACCUUUUGGGGUUUGACUCACCCGGCAUCAUUUUCUGGAGAUUCAGCUUAUAUGUGUCAAUAGUUUGUUCCCUUUUUUUUAGUUCAGUAGUAUUCUGUGGUACGUGUGUACCACAUCACUCAUCAAUUCGGACUUCUGGGUUGUAUCUGGUAUUUGAUUAUUACAAAUAGAAGUACUAUAUAUAUAUUCGUGUAGAGGUUUCUGUGUGAACAUAAACUUUCAUUUUCCUGGGACAGAUGCCCACGAGUGAAAAUUGUGAGUCAUAUGGUAAUUAUGUAGAGUAUUUUUUUUUUGAGACGAUUUGUUUAUGAUUUUAAAACAUAAAAAUAUAAGUUGUAGCCAAAUAUAAGGAAGGAUUUUUCCACAAUCUAGACUUUAUUCUUAUUUUAGAGAAAUACUUUUGAAAAAAUUGCUUUAUUGGCAAACAAUUCCUAUGUAAAGGAAUAAAAGACGCAUAUACUCUAGGAAAGAUGUUGCAAAGCUGACAGGCAACUUUGAGAAAGAUGAGGGCAGUUUUCCAGUGUUACUGGAGACUUGACAUUCAAGGAUGUAUUAUGAUAGUUUCUGAAUUGAUAGAUUCUUUAGCGUUUGUCACUACCCUCAGGCCUGCAGUUUUUAUUUGUAGAAUUAACUCAUCUUUACAAUGCUUUGUUGAGUGCUGUUGCAGAAAAUGCUCAUGUAAUUCAAUUAUAUGCAGUUAGGAAAAAGAAGUAUCUUUUUCUAGUACAUGGCCCCUAAAAUGAUGACUUUCCACAAUGCUGAAUGGAGGAAACAGCUCUGUUUCCAUCAAACUCUGGUGGAAAUUAUACAAAGUUAUAUUAUGCUUUAUGAGACAUAGUGAGGUAGUACACAACCAUAUAUGCUAUAUUAUUGGGGAGACCCACUGAAAGAAUUUUCAAGGAUAAUUUUUGCUCUGAUUUUCUAUCAUGUAUAUUGACUUUAUUGAUUGAUUGAUUGAGAUGGAGUCUCACCCCGUCACCCAGGCUGAAGUGCAGUGGUGCAAUCUCUGCUCACUGCAACCUCCGCCUCUCAGGUUCAAGUGAUCCUCGUGCCUCAGCCUCCCGAGUAGCUGAGACUAUAGGUGUGUGCUACGAUGCCCAGCUAAUUUUUGUAUUUUUAGUAGAGACAGGAUUUGGUAGCCUGGUCUCGAACUCCUGACCUCAGGUGAUCUACCCACCUUGGCCUCCCAAAAUACUGGGAUUACAGGUGUGAGCCACCGUGCUGGCCAAGUAUAUUGACUUUAAAACGUUACCGGCUGGGCGUGGUGGUUCACGCCUGUUAUCCCAGCACUUUGGGAGCCCGAGGCGGAUGGAUUACCUGAAGUCAGGAGUUCGAGACCAGCCCAACCUGGUGAAACCCCGUCUCUACUAAAAAUACACAAAUUAGCCGGGCGUGGUGGCAGGCGCCUAUAAUCCCAACUACUGGGAAGGCUGAGGCAGGAGAAUUGCUUGAACCUGGCAGGCGGAGGCUGCAGUGAGCCAAGACUGCGCCACUGCACUCCAGCCUGGGCAACAAGAGCAAAACUCAGUCUCAAAAAAAACAGAAAAAAAAAGUUACCACGGGUGAAACAUUGGGCUGGUCACAGUGAUCCUUCUAACAGCAGUCAAUAUUAUAAAUCUAGCUUUUUUUUUUGAGUGAGAUACUAGGCCCAGGGAACCCGAGUCUUUCAAUCCUCAUGAAUAUAGUUUAAUCUUUAGCUCAUUAUGGUCAUGACCAUAGUUAAAUAAAUGACACGAGAUAAUAAAAUAGUCUUUGCCCUUAAAACUGACCUGGGUAAAAGGAUGUACACUUGAAUCUUUGAAUACCAGAAUAGUCAUUCAUUCAUUGAGCCGUGUUGUAGCAUCCCAUCUUCUGGCACUUCCAGCACUGGGAACCCAUCAUAAAGAAGGCACUACAGGCCAGGCGCUGUGGCUCACGCCUGUAAUCCCAGCACUUUGGGAGGCCAAGGCAGGCGGAUCACCUGAGGUCAGGAGUUCGAGACCAGCCUGGCCAACAUGGUGAAACCCCAUCUCUACUAAAAAUACAAAAAGUAACUGGGCAUGGUGGCAGGCGCCUGUAAUCCCAGCUACUUGGGAGGGUAAGGCCAGAGCAUCGCUUGAACCCGGAAGGCAGAGGUUGCAGUGAGCCAAGAUCCUGCCAUUGCACUCCAGCCUGGGGGAUAAGAGCGAGACUUCGUCUAAAAAAAAUAAAAAUAAAAAGGCACUACAGCACCUGUUCUCUUAGUGUAGCUCUAUUAGCUCUUAGACUAGGGGGUAGGGAUGGGAAAAAGUAAAAAGAAACUGAGAAACCAAUCUAAUUACGCAUAAUCAGAAAUCCAAAGCUUCCAGAAUUCAUGAGGAAAAAGAACUGCAGCUGAUGGAGUAGGCAUUACAGAGAAUGAGAGGCUUGCUUUUUUUUUAAGUUUCAUUUUAUUUGUAAUUGACACAAUAGCACAUAUUUACGGGAUACAGUGUGACAUUUUAAUACAUUUACAUAUUGUGUAAUGAUCAAAUUAGGAUAAUUAGCUUAUGUAUCACUUCAAAAACAUAAUUUCUUUGUGAUGAGAACAUUCAAAAUCUUCUAGUAUUUUGAAAUACAUAAUGCAAUAUUGUUAACCACAAUCACCCUACUGUGCAAUAGAACACCAGAGUUUACUCCUCUUUUCCAUCUGUAGCUUCAGACCCAUUGACCAAUCUCUCCCCUUCGCCCCCCACCACCCCCCCCCCCGCCGUCACCACUCUCCUCCCCUCCCCAGCAAGAGGCUUGAAUCUUGAAGGAGCACAUCAGAUAGAAAGAGGGAAAUCAACUGGGACAUGGUUUGUUGGAAGUGGGGUGGAAUCUGGUUUGUUUACAGUUUCAGAGUUUGAGGCAUCAAAAGUGUAUGUCAUUGCCCAAAAGUAUUUAACAGCUUUCUAUGUUUUAGGAAUUCACUAGAAAUAAGGCAUGCUUUUUAAAAAAGAAAAAAAAUAGUAAUCUUUGAAUUUAAAUAUGUGGGUUUCCAUGAAAAACAAAUGAGUACCCUUCCUUGAAAAACUACUACUUUGAAGAGUCUCGUAGGUUCUGAGGCUCGUGUGUGUGUGUGGGUGUGUGUGUAUAAAACAUUUUCUUUUAUAUUUGGUAAGAAGGAAUAAGGUAUUUUAUACUUUUCUGGUCUGUUAAAUGCAUAAUCUAUAAGACUAUAAUACUUUAAAAAAUUUUAGUUUAUCUGAGGCUUAAAAUAACAAAAGAACUUAAAGCUCCUGUGGAAGAGCUCCAAAAUUAAAACUGUAAGAUCACAUAUAGAUAAAACGUUAUAUAAAGCAGGCUUUGGGACCCCAGGCAUGAUGGCUCAUUCCUGUAAUCCCAGCACUUUGGGAGGCCAAGGUGGGUGGAUCACCUGAACCCAAAAGUUCGAGACCAGCCUGAGCAACAUGGUGAAACCCUGUCUCUACAAAAUACAGAAAAAAAAAAUAUUAACCAAUUUUUUUAACCUCCCAGCUACUUGGGAGGCUGAGAUGGGAGGAUGGCUUGAGCCUGGGGAGGUCGCGGCUGCAAUGAGUCAUGAUCGCGCCACUGCACUCCAGCCUGGGUAAUAGAUUGAAACUCUGUCUCCACACACACACACACAAAUGACUUUUGGUAAGACUGUACAUAGAGUUUAUGGCCUUAUUAAGAAACUCUUUUGAGCAACCUAAGAAAACACAAGUAUUUCUGUACAUUACUUUGUUAAAGUGUACAGGAUAAUAAGAGAGAGCUAAGAGCCUUUUCUAAAUGUGCAUCCAAUUUUAAGAGGCUAAAAUAGGAAGCUUUCAUAUAGCCAAGGCCCCAUUAACUUGGGAAUCUGGAAAACAGAAGACGUAAGUUUCUAUCAGAGUUUCUUUAAAUUUAUGUAAAUCAUAAAUUUGAGCAAGGCAGUUAUAAAAGACAUUAAAAUUAAGAUACUCAGGAUUUUAUAUGUAAUAAUAUUGAUUCCAAUAUCUUCAACACUAUGGCAUUGCCAAUGAGGAGACCAAAAUGAAUUGUAUUUUAUGAAAGGGCUAUAUUAGACCAGUGACUUAAAAGUUCCAAGUACAUAUAAUGACAAAGCGUUGUGGAAUCAUCUUGUACUACUGUUUAUGUAGUAGUUUAAAAAAAAAAAGAAAAAGAAAAUGGUGCAAUUUUAGACAGUUUAAAAAAAUUUUACAAAUACUGCAAAUCAUAGGUUGGUUACCACUAGACUUCCUGACUGCAGUGGUUGCUGUAUUCACUGUACAUUCUUUUAAAACACCAGGCACUUUAUAAUUUUGUCUAUAAUUGUUUAUAUAUUUUUUCUUCACAACAUGUUUUAGAAUAACUUAUUGCUAAGUUACUUCAACGUAUGUGCCAUCUUUAAACUUUAUAUAUGAGUAUACUAAAGUGUCAUUUGCAAGACACAUCUAUGCACUAUUUUUUUUUUCAGGAGCCUCUUUAUUCAAAAUACUUUUAAAUGCAGUGCAUAAAAAUAGCAGGCCACUUCCACUUGCAGGCUUUUGAAGCUGGAGAAGACUUGUUUUUCACAUGAGGAAACUGAGUCCCAGCAAGGUGAAAUGACUUGCUAGUAAGUGAUACGAUUAAACUUAUUUUUUGACUCCAAAGCACAUUCUGCCAACUUGAAGAUGCUUGUCCCAACUUCUGGAAAUUCACCCUAUCAACGUCUGUAUCACAACCCCAUUCUUAAUAAUAGUUUCUUCACAUUAGAAAUAAAUGUCAGAAAUAAAUGUCUACUUGUCAUUUGUACAUGUCAUGCAAACAUCUUGGCACCAGAUAUGGGUACAAGUAGAAAGCAUCAGCGUGUUCAUCUAAGAACUGGAUUUUAUCCAAUGGAAUGUUCUGUUUAUUCAUUGCUAUUCAUGCAUACCUGCUGUGUUUUAACGUUGUGAUAAAUCCAGAGAAUCAAAUAUGAAUAAAAAUACUCCCUGAAUUCAACAAAGUAGGCAUUGGCUCUGGCCAGGGGACAAAAUGUUAAAUGGCAUGCAGUCUUCACCCUGGCACAACUUGAAGCUUAUCACCUAUUGUAGAGAUGAAGCCAUAAACAGAUCAUUUCAGCACAGCAUGAUAAGGGGGAGCUCCAGGGAUCAUGGUAGUACAUGGGCCCAGUCCCUAAUUAAAUCUGGUGGAGUGUGGGCAAAGUUAAGGAAGGCUUCCUAGAGGAGAGGGCAUUGGGGUUGAUCCCUGGCAGGAACAGGGCUCCAGGCAAGGGGAACAAAGACCAGU
rnacentral:lncRNA from 1 species